CGAGGAAUCUUGGUCAAUGGGGGCAACCCUGAACCAGCGACGCCGCGUGGAGGACGACGGCCCUUGGGUCGUAAACUCCUUUUGCCGGGGAAGAUGAUGACGGUACCCGGCGAAUAAGCCACGGCUAACUACGUGCCAGCAGCCGCGGUAAUACGUAGGUGGCGAGCGUUGUCCGGAUUUACUGGGCGUAAAGCGCGCGUAGGCGGCGCCUCAAGUCCUAGUGUGAAAGGUCGCGGCCCAACUGCGACACGGCACAGGAUACUGGGGUGCUUGAGGGCAGCAGAGGCCGGUGGAAUUCCCGGUGGAGUGGUGAAAUGCGUAGAUAUCGGGAGGAACACCAGAGGCGAAGGCGGCCGGCUGGGCUGUACCUGACGCUGAGGCGCGAAAGCGUGGGGAGCGAACCGGAUUAGAUACCCGGGUAGUCCACGCCCUAAACGGUGGCGACUAGGUGUGGGGGGUAUCGACCCCCUCCGUGCCGCAGCUAACGCGUUAAGUCGCCCGCCUGGGGACUACGGCCGCAAGGUUAAACUAC
rnacentral:rRNA from 1 species